rnacentral:rRNA from 1 species
UUAAGUUAAUAAGGGCGCACGGUGGAUGCCUUGGCACUAGGAGCCGACGAAGGACGUGACAAACGACGAUAUGCCUUGGGUAGCUGUAAGUAAGCGAUGAUCCAGGGAUUUCCGAAUGGGGGAACCCAACAGGUAGUACCUGUUACCCACAUCUGUUAAGGAUGUGAGGAGGAAGACGCAGUGAACUGAAACAUCUAAGUAGCUGCAGGAAGAGAAAGCAAAAGCGAUUGCCUUAGUAGCGGCGAGCGAAACGGCAGGAGGGCAAACCGAAGAGUUUACUCUUCGGGGUUGUAGGACUGCAAUGUGGACUCAAAGAUUAUAGAAGAAUGAUUUGGGAAGAUCAGCCAAAGAGAGUAAUAGCCUCGUAUUUAAAAUAGUCUUUGUACUUAGCAGUAUCCUGAGUACGGCGGGACACGUGAAAUCCCGUCGGAAUCUGGGAGGACCAUCUCCCAACCCUAAAUACUCCCUAGUGACCGAUAGUGAACCAGUACCGUGAGGGAAAGGUGAAAAGCACCCCGGGAGGGGAGUGAAAUAGAACCUGAAACCGUGUGCCUACAACAAGUUCGAGCCCGUUAAUGGGUGAGAGCGUGCCUUUUGUAGAAUGAACCGGCGAGUUACGUUAUGAUGCGAGGUUAAGUUGAAGAGACGGAGCCGUAGGGAAACCGAGUCUGAAUAGGGCGCCUUAGUAUCAUGACGUAGACCCGAAACCAUGUGACCUACCCAUGAGCAGGUUGAAGGUGCGGUAAGACGCACUGGAGGACCGAACCAGGGCACGUUGAAAAGUGCUUGGAUGACUUGUGGGUAGCGGAGAAAUUCCAAACGAACUUGGAGAUAGCUGGUUCUCUCCGAAAUAGCUUUAGGGCUAGCGUCGACAUUAGAGAUUCUUGGAGGUAGAGCACUGUUUGGGUGAGGGGUCCAUCCCGGAUUACCAAUCUCAGAUAAACUCCGAAUGCCAAUGAAUUAUGGUCGGCAGUCAGACUGCGAGUGCUAAGAUCCGUAGUCGAAAGGGAAACAGCCCAGACCACCAGCUAAGGUCCCAAAAUAAUUGUUAAGUGGAAAAGGAUGUGGGGUUGCACAGACAACUAGGAUGUUAGCUUAGAAGCAGCUAUUCAUUCAAAGAGUGCGUAAUAGCUCACUAGUCGAGUGACCCUGCGCCGAAAAUGUACCGGGGCUAAAACAAUUUACCGAAGCUGUGGAUACCUUUAUAGGUAUGGUAGGAGAGCGUUCUAUGUGUGAUGAAGGUAUACCGUGAGGAGUGCUGGAACGCAUAGAAGUGAGAAUGCCGGUAUGAGUAGCGAAAGACAGGUGAGAAUCCUGUCCACCGUAAGACUAAGGUUUCCAGGGGAAGGCUCGUCCGCCCUGGGUUAGUCGGGACCUAAGGAGAGACCGAAAGGUGUAUCCGAUGGACAACAGGUUGAUAUUCCUGUACUAGAGUAUGUAGUGAUGGAGGGACGCAGUAGGCUAACUAAAGCAGACGAUUGGAAGAGUCUGUCUAAGCAGUGAGGUGUGAAUUGAGUCAAAUGCUUAAUUCUAUAACAUUGAGCUGUGAUGGGGAGCGAAGUUUAGUAGCGAAGUUAGUGACGUCACACUGCCAAGAAAAGCUUCUAGCGUUUAAACAUACUCUACCCGUACCGCAAACCGACACAGGUAGUCGAGGCGAGUAGCCUCAGGUGAGCGAGAGAACUCUCGUUAAGGAACUCGGCAAAAUGACCCCGUAACUUCGGGAGAAGGGGUGCUGACUUUAAGUCAGCCGCAGUGAAUAGGCCCAAGCAACUGUUUAUCAAAAACACAGCUCUCUGCUAAAUCGUAAGAUGAUGUAUAGGGGGUGACGCCUGCCCGGUGCUGGAAGGUUAAGAGGAGUGCUUAGCGUAAGCGAAGGUAUGAAUUGAAGCCCCAGUAAACGGCGGCCGUAACUAUAACGGUCCUAAGGUAGCGAAAUUCCUUGUCGGGUAAGUUCCGACCCGCACGAAAGGCGUAA